CCUGGUGUGGGCUGUAAUUAGGUCAGUGUAUGUUAAAGUAGGACUGAGAGAUAAAUAAAGUAGAUUUUCUUCUCUGGAACACACUGCAGUUUAAUUUCACUUCUUCUCUCAUUGUGUGAUGAAGGUGGAUUUAACUUUUAAAGGCAAAGAGACAAUCCUCUGCUAGCAUUAAAUGGAAAGGCUUUGGGAGAAGGGUUGAUUCCAGCUGAUAAAAGGAAAAAAGCUUCCUCUUCCCUCCCCAACAUUGAUAUUCUGGUCAUCAUCAGAAGGGCAAUCACAUGGCAUCCUGGUGGUCUGGAAGUCUACAUUUAUGGCAUCGAGUUGAAAAAUGUAUUCCUAGAGAGUUUUAUUUAGGUAAGCAUAUUCGUACUGUAUGAGUACUAUAUGUCACAACUUAUUCAUGUAAAUAUGUAUGUACAUGCUUAUCAUCUACAUAUGCAUUUGCAUUGUAUCAUAUAGAAGUGAUAAGUAUAAUUGAACUGCUUGUGUGUAUUAUCAUGUAGAAUAAAGAGUCUGUGCCAUGACUAUUAAGUAAUGAG
rnacentral:lncRNA from 1 species